AUCAACUUUCGAUUGGUAGGAUAGAGGCCUACCAUGGUGGUAACGGGUAACGGGGUGUUAGGGCACGACACCGGAGAGGGAGCCUGAGAAACGGCUACCACAUCCAAGGAUGGCAGCAGGCGCGCAAAUUACCCAAUCCCGACACGGGGAGGUAGUGACAAUAAAUAACAAUACGGGGUUCUUUAGGAUCUCGUAAUUGGAAUGAGUACAAUUUAAAUCUCUUAACGAGGAACAAUUGGAGGGCAAGUCUGGUGCCAGCAGCCGCGGUAAUUCCAGCUCCAAUAGCGUAUAUUAAAGUUGUUGCAGUUAAAAAGCUCGUAGUUGAAUUUCGGGGUUAGUAGGUUGGUCAUGCCUCUGGUAUGUACUGGUCUCACUGAUUCCUCCUUCCUGAUGAACCGUAAUGCCAUUAAUUUGGUGUUGCGGGGAAUUUGGACUGUUACUUUGAAAAAAUUAGAGUGUUUAAAGCAAGCUAACGCUUGAAUACAUUAGCAUGGAAUAAUGAAAUAGGACGUUCGAUCCUAUUUUGUUGGUUUCUGGGAUUGACGUAAUGAUUAAUAGGGAUAGUUGGGGGCAUUAGUAUUCNAUUGUCAGAGGUGAAAUUCUUGGAUUUAUUGAAGACUAACUACUGCGAAAGCAUUUGCCAAGGAUGUUUCAUUANUCNNAACGAAAGUUAGGGGAUCGAAACGAUCAGAUACGUCGAAUCCUAACCAUAACCUAUGCCGACUAGGAUCGGAUGAUGUAAUUUUUUAAUG
rnacentral:rRNA from 1 species